rnacentral:tRNA from 1 species
GCCUCGGUAGCUCAAUGGCAGAGCAGCUGAUUUGUAAUCAGCAGGUUGUGGGUUCAACUCCCUCCCGGGGC